AAAAAUGAAAAGAAAAGAGAAGGAAUAAAAAGCUAAAAAGAAAAAAUAAAAAGAAAGAAACCAACGAUCCUUGGGAAACUAGACGAGCUAGUUCUCCCGUUUCCUAGGGAAAAUGAGAGAUGCAGACUCCACCGCCAACUGAGUUGACGGUGCCAUCUUCCUCUCGUUACCCUUUUCUUAAGCUUAUUCAUUAUGGAGAGAAAGGAUUGCAAUUGUAUGCUUUUUUUAGGAACUUGGCUUGAUAAUCGAAUCUUAGGUUUGCACGGAUUUAACGUCACUCAUUUGAAACAUAAUCAAACCAGUCACUGUUUAAACCAAGCUUCACCAAAUAAUCGAGUGG
rnacentral:lncRNA from 1 species